CCUUGGAAGCUUUGUUUCAUUUUUAAUUUUUUUUUGAAAUGAAGCUUUGUUUCAUUUCACUCCGUAAAGUUUUCAUAAUUUUUACAGUCAUUUUUUUCGCGGUUUUUCAUCUCCACUCCCGGCGAUUCCAGUUCUAGGGUUUUGCUUCGCAUUCUUCCUCUUCGUGUCCGGUGUUGCGAUUGUAGUUGAAAGAAUUUGUUUUUGCGGUUUUCGUCUUCAGUUCCGCGUUGGAAGGGUAGGAUUUGGAAGUUCUUUCGUCUCCCGCCAUUGCCUCCGGUGAUUUCGCCGACUCCCUGAACGACGACGACGAUGAUGGUGAUGAAGACGAUGACGAGGAUGAAGAGAAGAAGUCGAAGGAGAUGAAGAGGUAUCCUCAUUGCCUCAUUUUUCUAGAGCUUCUGCAGAAUGCAAGCUUCAGAAACGCAACGGCACAUCCCUUAAACAAGAGGUGAACCUUUGGCUGUUGAUUCAUAAUACUUCAUGCCACACAAUGUUGAAGAAUUGUUUUCUUGCUGCACUUGAUGCUUGCACCUUAAACCAUCUCGUGCCACUCUAUGCGACACAAGAAGCAGCUUCCCGAGGGCCAGUGAUCAUCCUAGCGAAGCAGAGGCGGAAAAGAGACCUAUUUAUGAUGCUUUUGCUGAGUCCUGUAAUUCCGACCAAAUUCUAUUGGCCGAAUCUGUGAAGCAGGAGCGGAAGAGCUCUGAAUGCGCCUGCCCUGCUCCUGAUGAUGCAAUGAAGUGCAACUCAUCCUCUCAUGGCUUGCCGCCUGCACCUAUUGGUACCUCUGCAUCUUUCUAAGUGCUAGAGAAACACCUUGGACCGUAAAGAUUGUUGCUAGACAGAGCAAGA